AACGAACGCUGGCGGCAUGCCUAACACAUGCAAGUCGAACGAGACCUUCGGGUCUAGUGGCGCCCGGGUGCGUAAAGCGUGGGAACCUGCCCUUAGGUUCGGAAUAACUUCCCGAAAGGGGUGCUAAUACCGGAUAAUGUCUUCGGACCAAAGAUUUAUCGCCUUUGGAUGGGCCCGCGUUGGAUUAGCUAGUUGGUAGGGUAAAAGCCUACCAAGGCGACGAUCCAUAGCUGGUCAGAGAGGAUGAUCAGCCACACUUGGACUGAGACACGGCCCAGACUCCUACGCGAGGCAGCAAUGGGGAAUAUUGGACAACGGGCUGAGGGCUGAACCAGCUAUGCCCCGUAAGUGAUGAAGGCCGUGGGGUUGUAAAGCGCUAUUACCCGGGAGGAUAAUGACAGUACCUAGAGAAUAAGCUCCGGCUAACUCCGUG
rnacentral:rRNA from 1 species